rnacentral:rRNA from 1 species
AGCAGUAGCCGCGGGAAUACGAGGGGGGCAAGCGUUGUUCGGAAUUAUUGGGCGUAAAGGGUGCGUAGGCGGUUUGGCAAGUUUGGUGUGAAAUCUUCGGGCUCAACUCGAAGUCUGCAUCGAAAACUGCCGAGCUUGAGUAUGGGAGAGGUGAGUGGAAUUUCCGGUGUAGCGGUGAAAUGCGUAGAUAUCGGAAGGAACACCUGUGGCGAAAGCGGCUCACUGGACCAUAACUGACGCUGAUGCACGAAAGCUAGGGGAGCAAACAGGAUUAGAUACCCCAGUAGUCCCUGUCUCUUAUAC